AACGCUAGCUACAGGCUUAACACAUGCAAGUCGAGGGGUAGCACGGAAGAAGCUUGCUUCUUUGGGUGACGACCGGCGCACGGGUGAGUAACGCGUAUCCGACCUACCCAUAACACGGGCACAGCCGCUCGAAAGAGUGAUUGAUUCCCGAUAUGUCAUUAGAGUAGAUUUAAUGAUGAAAGAUUUAUCGGUUAUGGAUGGGGAUGCGUAAGAUUAGGUAGUAGGCGGGGUAACGGCCCACCUAGCCGACGAUCUUUAGGGGUUCUGAGAGGAAGGUCCCCCACACUGGUACUGAGACACGGACCAGACUCCUACGGGAGGCAGCAGUGAGGAAUAUUGGUCAAUGGGCGGAAGCCUGAACCAGCCAAGUAGCGUGAAGGAUUACAGCCCUACGGGUUUUAAACUUCUUUUAUAUGAGAGUAAUGUGCACUACGUGUAGUGUAUUGCAAGUAUCAUAUGAAUAAGCAUCGGCUAACUCCGUGCCAGCAGCCGCGGUAAUACGGAGGAUGCGAGCGUUAUCCGGAUUUAUUGGGUUUAAAGGGUGCGUAGGCGGAAAGUUAAGUCAGUGGUCAAAACUCAAGGCUCAACCUUGAGUCGCCAUUGAAACUGGUUUUCUGGAGUGAGCGAGAAGUAUGCGGAAUGCGUGGUGUAGCGGUGAAAUGCAUAGAUAUCACGAAGAACUCCGAUUG
rnacentral:rRNA from 1 species